UGUGGCUGGGGGUGAAAGGCCAAUCAAACCGGGAGAUAGCUGGUUCUCCCCGAAAGCUAUUUAGGUAGCGCCUCGUGAAUUCAUCUCCGGGGGUAGAGCACUGUUUCGGCUAGGGGGCCAUCCCGGCUUACCAACCCGAUGCAAACUGCGAAUACCGGAGAAUGUUAUCACGGGAGACACACGGCGGGUGCUAACGUCCGUCGUGAAGAGGGAAACAACCCAGACCGCCAGCUAAGGUCCCAAAGUCAUGGUUAAGUGGGAAACGAUGUGGGAAGGCCCAGACAGCCAGGAUGUUGGCUUAGAAGCAGCCAUCAUUUAAAGAAAGCGUAAUAGCUCACUGGUCGAGUCGGCCUGCGCGGAAGAUGUAACGGGGCUAAACCAUGCACCGAAGCUGCGGCAGCGACGCUGAUGCGUUGUUGGGUAGGGGAGCGUUCUGUAAGCCUG
rnacentral:rRNA from 2 species